GUGUGUGGUGUACCCUCUGUUCAGAGGGAGUGAACAGCCAUCCUCCCUUACACAAACUGGCUCGGUUGUAAAACCCUCCACCCUGGGAAGACCACAUACACACAGGACAUUCACCUGAGAGGCAGCUGAGAAGUGUCAUGAACCAUCAGAGAACCCCAAAAUGCAACACACCCCUGACUGAUUCCUGAGGCCCCGCAUGUGACUCAAGGGACCCUCACCACUGGGAACAUCAGAAGAAGAAAAAGACCAAUGGGACACCACAAGGAUCCAUGUAAUGAAAGUCCUUGGACCACCAUCAAGUUCUACAGACCACACCAAAAGCCUUGGAGAAAUUCAGGUAGACAAUGACCUGUGCUCACACCACAUCAACUGAGCAGUUGUGGAUUGAUAAUAUGGCACAGAACAUCUGAAAAGAUAUAGCAGGAGAAAGCUGCACAGAUGGGCUCCUUCCUCUCAUUUCUACUUACAAACAAGAGGAACUAAGUCUUCUCUUAAAUGCUUCUCAGAAUACCUGACAGGGAUAAAAUUUACAAUUAGUUAUAGAGAAUACGAUUGAAUCCUUCAAUGUCCUAAAUGUUCCUUUUUUGGACAAACCACUCAUUUGCAGUAAAAUCAAAUCUA